rnacentral:tRNA from 1 species
UCCUCUGUAGUUCAGUCGGUAGAACGGCGGACUGUUAAUCCGUAUGUCACUGGUUCGAGUCCAGUCAGAGAAGCCA